UGGCGGACGGGUGAGAAACACGUGGGUAACCUGCCUCAUAGAGGGGAAUAGCCUUUCGAAAGGAAGAUUAAUACCGCAUAAGAUUGUAGUACUGCAUGGUACAGCAAUUAAAGGAGUAAUCCGCUAUGAGAUGGACCCGCGUCGCAUUAGCUAGUUGGUGAGGUAACGGCUCACCAAGGCGACGAUGCGUAGCCGACCUGAGAGGGUGAUCGGCCACAUUGGGACUGAGACACGGCCCAGACUCCUACGGGAGGCAGCAGUGGGGAAUAUUGCACAAUGGGGGAAACCCUGAUGCAGCAACGCCGCGUGAGUGAUGACGGUCUUCGGAUUGUAAAGCUCUGUCUUUAGGGACGAUAAUGACGGUACCUAAGGAGGAAGCCACGGCUAACUACGUGCCAGCAGCCGCGGUAAU
rnacentral:rRNA from 1 species